rnacentral:rRNA from 1 species
GCCAGACUCCUACGGGAGGCAGCAGUAGGGAAUUUUGCGCAAUGGGGGAAACCCUGACGCAGCAACACCGCGUGAAUGUUAAGCCCUUCGGGGUGUAAAGUUCUGUCAAUAGGGACGAAUUUUGACUGUACCUAUAAAGGAAGCACCGGCUAACUACGUGCCAGCAGCCGCGGUAAUACGUAGGGUGCGAGCGUUAAUCGGAAUUACUGGGCGUAAAGGGUGUGCAGGCGGCUGAGUAAGACAGAUGUGAAAUCCCCGGGCUUAACCUGGGAACCGCAUAUGUGACUGCUUGGCUAGAGUGCGUCAGAGGGAGGUGGAAUUCCACGUGUAGCAGUGAAAUGCGUAGAUAUGUGGAAGAACACCGAUGGCGAAGGCAGCCUCCUGGGACGCAACUGACGCUCAUACACGAAAGCGUGGGGAGCAAACAGGAUUAGAUACCCGGGUACA